CUGGGUCUGACAAGUGACCUUGAGAGAAUUACAGCGGUAAUCUUUUCAGUUGGUUGGAGCCAGUCUUGGCCAAUUUCCCCAGAGUGUUAGGUGCAAACAUAAGCCUGAACUCCACGUCACACAUGCAUGUUUGCCUCAGCCCUUGUGCUGUGUCGCGUGUUUGUCCUGUGGCUUGUACAAGCAACGGCUUUCUCCUCCCUGGUGUGAGCUGGUCUCCAGACCUUCCUGCCCUUUGCUGGAAGUGCAGCGAAGCAAUGCGGACAAGGAUGUUGUUCCAAGCCCAUUGAGCAAGUGCUUGCAUUUAGUGACCUUCUGCACCAGUAAUUCUGUCCUUUGGGGAUUGAAAUUGAUUUUCCUCCUUUCUGCAUGUGAGCACAACCCAGGUGCACAGCUCUGCUAUGAAUACCGAUCUCAGAACACUGUGACUCCUGUGAUUAAACACAGACCAAGUGUCUAAUUCCAGCAACGUGAGGAAGGAUGAAAGAACAUAACCUU
rnacentral:lncRNA from 1 species